rnacentral:misc_RNA from 1 species
GACAAGCAUACUAUUCCGCCCGGUACCACAUUGUUUGAAAAUGGCGGUCUACGAGGUAUUCGCUCACCCAGAGCUGAGGCGGUACAAGACUCAUCUGUGUACGAAGGCCACCCUUUUGAUGUUUGUGGUUUUAUUUGUAACAUUUAUUCCACCACUGUUCGUCGUUUACAGAAGUUACGGAUUCUGGAUCAAGGAGGAUUACUACAGGGAAACUCCUCGUGUUUUAUUCAAGAAGGAACUGAUCCUAACCCUUGAGUUGGCAAAUCCUUCCAAUGCUGGUUUGAGUUACUUGACUUAUUCUACCUUCCAGAGAUACAAUGAAUUACAACAACAGAACCUCAGGGUUCCUGUCAUACAGUCCAGAGAAGAUGACGCCAAUGGAGAUGGGAAGAAUGACGGUCUUGUCAUGAAGAUAGAGAUGCCACUGUUGGAUACAGAAGCUGUGACAGGCAUCAAACUUCUCCUCUUCUUUGACUACAGACUGGAGAGGUUUUCCUCAUUUGGAAUGGAGUCCAUGUCAUACAUAAACCAUGAUUCUGUAAAACCUGGGGCCAUGUAUGAAGUGUUUGGUGAUCUACGUAUCAAACAGAAGCAAGCACUUGAUCACAAAGGAUUAGAUACCAGGUUUAAUUCCUCCAUUGUGGACUCUACUAGUGCAUAUGCUGAGGCCUACCAGUUCUCCACGAUCUUUGGUAACUACGCUCAGAGAAAUGUGACCACUGUCCUGAAUGCUCCCUAUAGUGUUUGGACGUCCGGACGAGGUGCUGGUCAGCCAUUUGUCUUUAACAGCAACAUCUUCUACACUGAGGAUGUCUUCUUAUACACACCAGGUUUCUGGUACAUGAUCAAGUGGGGAUGGGUCCAGUAUGUAUCCGUACUGUUGCUGUUCCUCUUCGUCUUCGACCGCAUCAAAAUCUUCAUCUUCCAGAACCAGCUAGUGAAUACCAUUGUGGAGAAACCAUGGAAGACAGACAAGUUUUCCUGAUAUAUACCACAGCUUUAGAUAUUUAACUAAUUACAUCAGAGCUCAUAUUAGGUUAGUGAAAUUAAAAUUCAGUGAGGACUAUUCAUUUGACAAUGAAAUUGUGAAUAGAAUUAAACUGUAAGUCAUGUGGAUGUCAUGGUUGCUUAGACCAUAUCAGGAGUUUGUGAGUUAUUUAUAUCAAUUGAAAAAAAAGAACUUGACAAAUCAUGUAUUGUGAUUAUCUUUAUAUGCAUACCUUUACCUAUAUUGAUGUUAUGGAAACCAUAUCAAACUUGUGUAUAAUUGAAUUUCAAUACACAAUGCAGAUAAUACUUUAUUGAAAAAAAUAUUCCAAUUCAAUUCCUCGAGAAAUAUUUGAUGUGAUAGAUUUACAUACAUGUAUCACUGGAAUUUAUCUUUAUGUGAGGACCAUCCUUCCAGUAACUUUGUUAUCUCGUGAUAUUUUUUUGCGUUAUAUGAUCUCAUGUAGGAUCAAACAAUCUGAUUAAAAUCAUCUGUUACAUGGCGCCAUUGACUUUGUACUUGUUCAGGCAUAGUUUGAAGUUAACGGAUCCAUGUAACAGAUGAUUUUAAUCAGAUUGAGAAUCAAAGUUUUUUUAAAAUUAAUUUAACCAAGUGACUGUUUAAGGUUGUGUUUUGGGAAUGCUAUUUGAUCUGAUACGGUUGUUCACUGCAAAUAUGCUAUGGUAUAAUUAUUAGAGAUAUAUUUUCAUGUCAAGGAUUGUAGACCACAAAUUCAAAUAUUUGUAUAUAUAUUUAUUUUUAAGAAGGAAAUCAAAUGAUACAUGUAUAAUAUAUUUUUAAACAUGAUAUUCCAUUUGUAAAAUAAAACCUUCAAGAUGUACAAUCUUAGAAACAAGUUAUAAAUUCUAGACGUUGCAGUGUAAAUGGCGAUACUUUUGACCUUGUCAUCAGAAUGUGUUAUGACGUUGUCAGCAGCACAUGUUAUGACGUUGUCAGCAGCACAUAUUUUGACGUUGUCAAGAGACAUGUGUUCUGACGUUGUCAAGAGACAUGUGUUCUGACGUUGUCAGCAGCACGUGUUAUGACGUUGUCACCGGAACGUGUUUUGAUGUCACAAGACGUGUACAUCACCAGAUACCUGUUAUAACAUCAUGUCUUACAUAAGAUUUUAUUUUGAUCGCAAAAGUAAUUAAAUCAUGUAUUUAUUACAGAGAAAAAUCAGUAUUUCUUCUCAUUGAGGUAAUCCAGAUAUUUAUUUUCAGUCCUGUGAGUUUCUCAAAUGGAGUUCCUACAUUAAACUUGGUAAUAAACCUGCUUUAUAGGAUGUACAUUUUUAUCAUCACUUAGUGGAUAUCCUCCAUAAAGCAUCUUUGAACAGCUAGACCCUUGACACUGUAGGUUAUUUAUGAUUCUAUUUUCAGCAAGUAUGAUAUUUAUGAUAAAGAAGAGCUGUGUCUGUGGUGUAAACGUCACUGUUGGAGUUACAGCUUUUGUGUUAGUGUCUACUUUUGUAUGGUGUUAUACUAAUGAGGAUUGAUUUCUAUGCAUGAAUGGGUGACUUCCGUCCAAGUGAUAUUUAUUUGUGAGCUGAUGAGACCCGACCAUGGUGUAACUGUUGUGUAAAUGAUAUGUGUGUAUGUGAUGUUCAUGCUGCUUCCGGUUCUCUAAGAAAUACUUACCUUCAGAAUUGAUUGGUCAGAUUUGUAUCAUUUGAAGUCCAUAUGCUAACAAAGAGUAUUCAAAUAUCACCUUGGUUUUGCGUUAUACUAAAAAAAACAACGAGUGGUUAUCACUCUUUACUGCUUUUAUGUGACAUACAUUACAGUGUAUGGGGUAAAAACCGAGAAAACAAUUAUUUGAAUUAUUACCAACAUUUCACUCAUUCUGUUGAUGUUUACUUUUUUCUAGGCCUAUAAAUCUAUGUAUUGUCUUGUAAGAACAACUGUACUGUCAGACUUAGUAAUACAAUGUUAUACCCCAAAGAGGGUGUUAUUUAAUAUGCAAUGUACACCUGAGAGAUUGGAGCAUUGAACAUUAAGAUUGCGUCUGUUUUUAGUGAAAGUGUAAAGUCUCAUCGUAGAAAUUAUCAUGUAUUUUAAUAUAAUUUGUAAUAAAAUCGUAGAAUAUUAAA